CCGCCCGGCAGCGUCACAAGGCCUGACCUCAGGUGUUGGGUUUUUGGGUAUAACCAUUAUUGAAAAGACAGCGGUUGAGAUUUACUGGCUGGAAAGUGUGCUCUGAUUUAGCAUCGUGUAGCUCGGAGCUGUUACUGAUCCUAGAGCUGCAGCGAAGGCAGCCGAGGG